CUUGGGAAUAAAAGUGAGCACCCAAACUAGAGCUCCAACAGCACUGUAUCAGAGCCAGGCCAGACAGAAGCCAUAGAGGUAUGGAAGAGGAGAAGGUCUGAGGGAGCUGCCGCACAAGAUCACUCUCCCUAGCUAGCACCUGUGCUUUCAGGUCGAGGGGGAAGAGGGUGCCUACAUAAAUCUGCAGGUACUCACAAGACACUGAAAGACAUACUACCACCUGGAAGAUGGGCCAAAGUAGCAUAGUUGGGGUCCUCACCAGAUGUCCAGGAUGAGGAGUGUGGCCACGAUAGCAUAGACACCGUCACUGAAAGCUUCCACCCGCUCUUUGCUGAGAGGUGCGUGCAGAUCAAUACUGAAGGGCUCCACAUUGUGAGCUGGAGACUCCCUGUGGCCUGUGAUAUGCCAAGGGAAGGAAAUAGCCUAGGUGGGGGACUGUCAGACCACUGUGGCUAUCACUGCCCUCUUCUCCAAAGGGACAGGAGGUGAAAUGAUGCAGAGAUUUUAAGGGGCAAGAAGCAGCCAGGGCCCAGCAAACCCACCACCAGACCAAGGCUCAGCCCAGAAGGGCCAUCACAUACUGAUGUCUUAUUCCCAAUCAGUGGUUCCUGGAAGUAGCCAGGAGAACUUUCCAACAUGCUUACUGUGCAUGGUCACCUACCCGUGAGCUUGUCUUUGCACCAGGUGGUAGCCUUGCUGAUAUGAGGAAGGAAGAUGACAGUCACCAUCAGGACAUAUGACUACAGAAAGAAAGAAAACAGGUCAGGAUGUUUCCCUGGGAAUCUGAACUGCUCACACCUGAAGUCUGGUCCCAUUCUUCUGUCACAGAUGGAGGGACAGCAGGAACAACAAAGGAAAAUCCAGAGAACUGUCCUUUAUGGAAACAAACUGUGUAUAAAGGCUUAAUGCCAAAAGGAAGAACUAUCAUAAAUAAGAAAUGCAUACCAGUCAUGUACUUUCUGAGAAUUUAGUAUCCAGAAUACAUAAAGAAUGGAAACAGCUCAACAACAGAAGCUGUGCUAAGACGUCCUCUGAGAUUCUCAGUGCUCACCAAGGGGAAGAAGAAGAGAGAAAAGAUAGCUGCAACAAAACACAGAGCUGGGCCACGGAGGACUAGGAGCAGGAUGUGCCGUCGGGACUGGGCCCUGUGUGCAGAGUGCUGGAUCUGAGGACUCAGCAGGUUUAAUAUAAAAAACAACUAAUGGAAUUUUAAAAAUGGACAAAGAAUGCAUACAUUUUGCCAAAGAAGUUGUGACUAGUCAAAAUAAUCCUAUACAAUAAAAGAACUUCUGGAGGCAUCACAAUCCCUGACUUCAAACUCUACUACAGAGCUACAGUACUGAAAACAGCCUGGUAUUGGCGUAAGAACAGACAGGAGGACC